AUUGAACGCUGGCGGCAGGCUUAACACAUGCAAGUCGAGCGGAGAUGAGGUGCUUGCACCUUAUCUUAGCGGCGGACGGGUGAGUAAUGCUUAGGAAUCUGCCUAUUAGUGGGGGACAACAUUCCGAAAGGAAUGCUAAUACCGCAUACGUCCUACGGGAGAAAGCAGGGGAUCUUCGGACCUUGCGCUAAUAGAUGAGCCUAAGCCGGAUUAGCUAGUUGGUGGGGUAAAGGCCUACCAAGGCGACGAUCUGUAGCGGGUCUGAGAGGAUGAUCCGCCACACUGGGACUGAGACACGGCCCAGACUCCUACGGGAGGUAGCAGUGGGGAAUAUUGGACAAUGGGGGGAACCCUGAUCCAGGCAUGCCGCGUGUGUGAAGAAGGCCUUAUGGUUGUAAAGCACUUUAAGCGAGGAGGAGGCUACUGAGACUAAUACUCUUGGAUAGUGGACGUUACUCGCAGAAUAAGCACCGGCUAACUCUGUGCCAGCCGCCACCGUAAAAC
rnacentral:rRNA from 1 species